rnacentral:rRNA from 1 species
UACGUAGGGUGCGAGCGUUAUUCGGAAUUACUGGGCGUAAAGCGUGCGCAGGCUGUUUUGUAAGUCAGAUGUGAAAUCCCCGAGCUCAACUUGGGAACUGCGUUUGAAACUACAAGACUAGAAUAUGUCAGAGGGGGGUAGAAUUCCACGUGUAGCAGUGAAAUGCGUAGAGAUGUGGAGGAAUACCAAUGGCGAAGGCAGCCCCCUGGGAUAAUAUUGACGCUCAUGCACGAAAGCGUGGGGAGCAAACAGG